CCCUUAGAUGUUCUGGGCCGCACGCGCGCUACACUGUUCGACGCAGCGAGUCUUAACCUUGACCGAAAGGUUUGGGUAAUCUUCAGCAAAGUCGAACGUGAUGGGGAUCGAUCAUUGCAAUUAUUGAUCGUGAACGAGGAAUUCCUAGUAAGUGCAAGUCAUCAGCUUGCGCUGAUUACAUCCCUGCCCUUUGUACACACCGCCCGUCGCUACUACCGAUUGAAUGGUUUAGUGAGAUCUCUGGAUUGACGCUGGCUAGGGGGCGACCCUUGGCCAGACUGUUGAGAAACUGCUCAAACUUGAUCAUUUAGAGGAAGUAAAAGUCGUAACA
rnacentral:rRNA from 1 species